CUAAUUCCCCAUCUCUCGAUCUCCUCUCCACUCCCAGAUCCCAACCGCCACCCCAUCCUACUUCUUUCUCUUCUCCACGACAGUGAGCCGUUGCUGCUGUUCGCCAGGUCGUCGCUGCUAGAUCCCUGCCCUAGCUGGCAACCAUGUUGAUUCGCUACUAACCCGCCCUACACGUGGUGACACCGUCGCCACGCCCAUGGCCUCAUCUCCAACAACCAGUCUGCCUCUCCGAUAUCCCGGAGCAAGAGGUACCUAUCCGGUGACUUGACCACGUGCUCCCACGACCGACAACGACUCUGACGGUGGAACCUCCGUGAAGCAGAAAAAGGACCCCAAGCACGGACCACCUUCAUCUUCAGAUUGCAAUACCUUCUUCCACCACCUCCUAUUGUAGACGUCUCAGAUGUGGUUGUUGAGAAAGCUGCAGAUCAGGCUCUGGAACGAAUAAACAAGUCUCGUGGGUUUCUACAAUAUUUGAAUAUGCAAUGCUGAUGGAUAGGAAGAACAAUGCCCG